GGUGGCUGUGAGCAGCCAGCAGCAGGGUUUGCCUCACUGACUCCACACUUGAGGGACACAGAUUCCAACUGAGGUGGUUGCAGGAAUGGGAGCUGCUUGAAAAGCAUAGGUGUGUGCCAGAUCCCCCUUGGAUAAAUGGUUUGGUCAUAAAACUUGCAGGCCCCAGGGAAAGGAUGCCGGCCAUGAUUUAGUUGUUGCUGUUUCAAAGGAGCGCUGGCCACUGCUGUUUUUGCCCCUCCACAGAUUUUUGUGUAUGGUUACUGUGUUUAUUGUGGAUUAAUUUUUGAUAUUUGCUUCUGUCAAUUUAUUGGUUUUGUUGUUGUUGUUUUUGUUUUAUAAAAAACCAACUUUGUGGGGUUUUGUUAGUAUCAGUACAGGGGGGCUGUCGUAUGCUUGCAGGUAGUGGGUCACUGGGUGGAGGGUCUCUGUCUCCUUUUGGGGUUUUUUUGGGUCUUAUUUGCAUGUUUGAGUGCUGUGUAUGUUAAUUCUUGUGUUCUUUUGCUUUGCAGUGAGUGUGUGAUCUCCUUCCCUCGCCCGUACCUGGUGGUGGUGGUGACUCCUCCUCUCCCUCACUCCCCACUCCUGUAGGCUCCUUGUUAAUUCCCCCCUUCCUGUACUGGUACUCCUUUACCUGUAGCUUUACCUUUUUAGCACAGUAUAAAUAUAUACAUAUAUUUUUGAUAAUAAAUUGUAUAUUUUUAAAUAGGUUUAGUCUUGUGAAUUCUUGAAAUUUAAAAGUAGACUGGUACAUAAAUAAAAU